rnacentral:lncRNA from 1 species
GAUCAUCAGGAUGGUUGCACAAUGUUUUGAAUGUAAAUGCCACUGAAUUGUACACCUUAAAAGGGCUCAAAUGACGUCAUUAGCACCCACCCUCCCAGAUGUGACAAUCAGAAAUGUGUCCAGACAUAUCCAGAUGUCCCUUAUGGGGAAGGGAGAAUCGCCCUGGCUUUGCAGACUCCAGCUGGAACCCCUGCUGCAAGGGAUGGAGGAGCAACAGCUCGGCAAUCUGGAGGCAAGGUGGGAGGCGGAGAAGCACGGAAACGAAGUCUCUCUGGCUCAACCAGCAAAAGUGAACCACUCCCCAGGUAUUCCCUUUAUAAUCAGACAGAGCUGCAGGGAGCCCUGUGGAGUGGGCAGCAUCCCCCAGAGGGCCAAGGGGAGACAUUCCAGACAGUCUUCCAGCAGAGAAGUUUGGGAAGAUGCUGAUUUCAUCUGUCCAGUCCUAAAGCAAUGCACUAAUCCAAAAUUAAACGAAAACAAACAUAUUCACCAGGCAAAGGAGUGUGAAAAAUCCCCAUUUCUGUCUCUCUCUCCUCAUCAGCAGUGGAAACCGGGGCUUCCUAGAAGAAACGAUGCACUCCCCACCUCCCUCUGUUUGUGCUGCAGUGAAAACUGACACGAGAGAUUCAUUGGAACAUGUGCCCUCGUUCCACUCUCAUCAGCCCACCGCGGGGACAGGAGCUGUUCAUCUUUUUGGCUCUGCUCGCAGC